AAGUCGUAACAAGGUUUCCGUAGGUGAACCUGCGGAAGGAUCAUUAUUGAUUGGUUGAUAGUGAGUGAGAUGAGAUGGUGGUGGCGAUCGGUGGUCUGGCUGCGAGGCUGGAUGACCACCGGAUCGGACGCCAGUUGCGGGGACAGCGCACGUUGCAGCCAUCAUGCACGGGGUGGCGAUUGAUCGGGCGAUCGAUUGGUGGUUGCCCACGAUGGUGGUGGCGAUGGCGUGCUGGCCGCGACAUUUGCGCGCUUGUUUGUUUGUCAGAUGUGGGGAGGAAUGCAUUGCACACAAUGCAGA
rnacentral:misc_RNA from 1 species